UGCAAGUCGAGCGCACCUUCGGGUGAGCGGCGGACGGGUGAGUAACGCGUGGGAACGUGCCCUUUUGUGCGGAAUAGCCUCGGGAAACUGAGAGUAAUACCGCAUACGCCCUUCGGGGGAAAGAUUUAUCGCAGAAGGAUCGGCCCGCGUUAGAUUAGGUAGUUGGUGGGGUAAUGGCCUACCAAGCCUACGAUCUAUAGCUGGUUUUAGAGGAUGAUCAGCCACACUGGGACUGAGACACGGCCCAGACUCCUACGGGAGGCAGCAGUGGGGAAUCUUAGACAAUGGGCGAAAGCCUGAUCUAGCCAUGCCGCGUGAGUGACGAAGGUCUUAGGAUUGUAAAGCUCUUUCGCCGGGGAAGAUAAUGACGGUACCUGGUAAAGAAACCCCGGCUAACUCCGUGCCAGCAGCCGCGGUAAUACGGAGGGGGUUAGCGUUGUUCGGAAUUACUGGGCGUAAAGCGCACGUAGGCGGAUUGGAAAGUUGGGGGUGAAAUCCCGGGGCUCAACCCCGGAACUGCCUUCAAAACUCCCAGUCUAGAGUUCGAGAGAGGUGAGUGGAAUUCCGAGUGUAGAGGUGAAAUUCGUAGAUAUUCGGAGGAACACCAGUGGCGAAGGCGGCUCACUGGCUCGAUACUGACGCUGAGGUGCGAAAGUGUGGGGAGCAAACAGGAUUAGAUACCCUGGUAGUCCACACCGUAAACGAUGAAUGCCAGACGUCGGGCAGCAUGCUGUUUCGGUGUCACACCUAACGGAUUAAGCAUUCCGCCUGGGGAGUACGGUCGCAAGAUUAA
rnacentral:rRNA from 1 species